CAAAAGCCAGGACUGGGGGGUGGAACUCCGGAAAGAAUGGAAACUCGAGCCAGCCUAGGAAGGAUCCUAUCUUGUGCUGCUAACCACUGAGACUGCUGUUCAUACAGCAGAAAGGGAGAGUCUAGGGGGUCAUGCCUUACAAACCACAAAACAUAUGACAAAGAAGAAAGUCAAAAUAUUUGACCUCAAAACAUGUUUCUGUGCCAUAUUUUGAAAUGGUCCUUCAAAGGUAUCCUUUGUGAGGGGUACAUGUGCAUCUGCAGAGAAUCUCUGUUAACAUAGCUAGAUCUUUUUCUUCUAGGCCCUACCAAUCCUGAAGAGAAUAAGUAAAAAUCUAACACCUUUUAAAGAUC
rnacentral:lncRNA from 1 species